ACUAUAACUCCGACCCACAAACCAUGAAGUAACUCCGACCCACAAACCAUGACUUCAUGGAGGCCAACUUCUUUUUCAGUUGAAACCCUGAAAAAAUACAGACCUAAUUAAAGGACCAAAUUCCUCACUCAGCUCUCUCUCUCUCUCACACACACACACACACACACAGUAAUCGGUCCAAGAAUCAAGAACUCUCUUUGCAAUGGGAACCACAGCAGUCGAGCAAAACCAGGAGAAGUCAAGAGAGCUCAAGCGAAUUGCUUCCCUAAAGUUGGAGAGAUCAGGGCAGAUGGAUUAAUGAUAUGUUGUCAGAUCGUUUUGUCCCCUUUCUUGACUACUAAACAUGCCCGUGGUGUAUGUAUCAAUUAUGCGCUUCAUCAUCUAUUGUCUCUAGCAGGUGAAGCAAAAAUCGUUCUUCUAUCACCUUCCUGAUUCGUUGCCCAGAAAGCAUGUUUUCCAAGAAGAGAAAAGAACAUGGUUUAUUCACAUGGAAGUGUGUACUUGGAGGGUUUCUGAUAAGUUGUGUUUACCAGAAUGUCCUGCUGCACAAAUCAGGGAUCAAACCUCUAAGAUCCACUCUAACAACCGGAUAUAGGGUAUUUGGCUCCAAAAUACCUUCAAUACGGGAAAGCACUCAGAGAAAACUGAUGUUUUCUGCUAUGGAGUUGUGAUUCUCGAAUUGGUGUGCAAAAAGAGGCCGAUUGAUAGAGAAAAUUUUAGCCAAAAGAUGGUGAAUUUGGUUGAUUUGGUUUGGGGGUUGUACUCCGAAGGGAAGGUGGUUGAGGCGGCGGAUGAGAGGCUAAAGGGGGAGUUCGAGGUGGGGGGAAAUGGAGAAGCUUUUGCUUCUGAGGUGAACCUGGAUAGCACUGAAAGGCCAUCUCUAUGACUAUGAGGAGGGUUUUGCAGAUUUUGAACAAUGAAGCAGAGAUGGUUGUUGCGCCAAAGUUGAAGCCGUGUCUCAGUUUCUCUUGUGGAGUGUCAUUGAGUCUUGAAGAAAUUGUUUUAGAUGGAGAAGAGGAAAUUCAGACACCAGGACACAUGUUUGAGAUCAAAAUGUGUGAAAUAGAAAUAGUAGUGGUCAAUUCAGCCAUGUUUAAAUGACAAUAAGUUCAAUGGCCUCUGUUUGGUUUUCUGUUGUAUGUUGAGGAGUACAUGGCUAUCUGGUCUUCCACAAUAGUUCAGCUAAUCUACAAAUUUUCCCAUGGUUUUGGUCUUCCCUCUUUUUUCUGUUUGUUGAGAGUGGAUUAUGUACUUAGAUGAGUAGUACUACUUUUCUUAUUGCACACUAAUUUCAGUUUCAUUCGAAUGUUGACGAUAUUAUUUUAGACGGGGAGGAAGAAAGUGAGACACUAAAUCACUUGUUUGAGAUCAAA